UACGAAGGGGGCUAGCGUUGCUCGGACUUACUGGGCGUAAAGGGCGCGUAGGCGGCACUGUUAGUCAGGCGUGAAAGUCCUGGGCUCAACCUGGGAACUGCGCUUGAUACGGCAGAGCUAGAGGAUGGAAGAGGGUCGCGGAAUUCCCAGUGUAGAGGUGAAAUUCGUAGAUAUUGGGAAGAACACCGGUGGCGAAGGCGGCGACCUGGUCCAUUACUGACGCUGAGGCGCGACAGCGUGGGGAGCAAACAGG
rnacentral:rRNA from 1 species